rnacentral:rRNA from 1 species
UGGGGAAUAUUGCACAAUGGGGGAAACCCUGAUGCAGCGACGCCGCGUGAGCGAAGAAGGCUUUCGAGUCGUAAAGCUCUGUCCUAUGAGAAGAUAAUGACGGUAUCAUAGGAGGAAGCCCUGGCUAAAUACGUGCCAGCAGCCGCGGUAAUACGUAUGGGGCGAGCGUUGUCCGGAAUUAUUGGGCGUAAAGGGUACGUAGGCGGCAAUGCAAGUCAGAUGUAAAAGGCAAAGGCUCAACCUUUGUAAGCAUCUGAAACUGUAUAGCUUGAGAAGUGUAGAGGCAAGUGGAAUUUUUAGUGUAGCGGUGAAAUGCGUAGAUAUUAAAAAGAAUACCGGUGGCGAAGGCGACUUGCUGGGCACAAUCUGACGCUGAGGAACGAAAGCGUGGGGAGCAAACAGG